UGGGGAAUAUUGCACAAUGGGCGCAAGCCUGAUGCAGCCAUGCCGCGUGUGUGAAGAAGGCCUUCGGGUUGUAAAGCACUUUCAGCGAGGAGGAAGGUGGUGAGCUUAAUACGCUCAUCAAUUGACGUUACUCGCAGAAGAAGCACCGGCUAACUCCGUGCCAGCAGCCGCGGUAAUACGGAGGGUGCAAGCGUUAAUCGGAAUUACUGGGCGUAAAGCGCACGCAGGCGGUUUGUUAAGUCAGAUGUGAAAAUCCCCGGGCUCAACCUGGGAACUGCAUUGAAACUGGCAAGCUAGAGUCUCGUAGAGGGGGUAGAAUUCCAGGUGGUAGCGGUGAAAAUGCGUAGAGAUCUGGAGGAAUACCGGUGGCGAAGGCGGCCCCCUGGACG
rnacentral:rRNA from 1 species